AGCAUUAAAUCAUAUAUAUUCAAUGGUGUCAACAAAACUCUCCUUUCAGUCAAUUUUGUUGCUUUGUGUGAUUUUGUUCUCUAUGAUGGCUCUCCAUCAUUGUGAUGAAAGUAAAAGAAUUAAGGCAAAACUUGCGAGUGAUGUAUGUAUCCCACUUUUUAAUCAUGGAGAACCACCCGAAUGGUGUUGCUAUGUGGACAAACCACCGACGUGCGAUUAUGAUUCUCUACAAGCAUGUCUUGCUAAAUGUCAUCAAUGAUGUAUUAAGCAGAUGUAUUAUUAAGAUACAAUAAUUUGAUUAUCAUUAAUAAAGUUCUGUUGCAGUCAUUAAUAUA